rnacentral:snRNA from 1 species
UCGGGAAGAGUUAUCUUUUCUGUU